GGCGUGCUUAACACAUGCAAGUCGAACGGAAAGGCCCUGCUUUUGUGGGGUGCUCGAGUGGCGAACGGGUGAGUAACACGUGAGUAACCUGCCCUUGACUUUGGGAUAACUUCAGGAAACUGGGGCUAAUACCGGAUAGGAGCUCCUGCUGCAUGGUGGGGGUUGGAAAGUUUCGGCGGUUGGGGAUGGACUCGCGGCUUAUCAGCUUGUUGGUGGGGUAGUGGCUUACCAAGGCUUUGACGGGUAGCCGGCCUGAGAGGGUGACCGGCCACAUUGGGACUGAGAUACGGCCCAGACUCCUACGGGAGGCAGCAGUGGGGAAUAUUGCACAAUGGGCGGAAGCCUGAUGCAGCAACGCCGCGUGCGGGAUGACGGCCUUCGGGUUGUAAACCGCUUUCGCCUGUGACGAAGCGUGAGUGACGGUAAUGGGUAAAGAAGCACCGGCUAACUACGUGCCAGCAGCCGCGGUGAUACGUAGGGUGCGAGCGUUGUCCGGAUUUAUUGGGCGUAAAGGGCUCGUAGGUGGUUGAUCGCGUCGGAAGUGUAAUCUUGGGGCUUAACCCUGAGCGUGCUUUCGAUACGGGUUGACUUGAGGAAGGUAGGGGAGAAUGGAAUUCCUGGUGGAGCGGUGGAAUGCGCAGAUAUCAGGAGGAACACCAGUGGCGAAGGCGGUUCUCUGGGCCUUUCCUGACGCUGAGGAGCGAAAGCGUGGGGAGCGAACAGGCUUAGAUACCCUGGUAGUCCACGCUGUAAACGGUGGGUACUAGGUGUGGGGUCCAUUCCACGGGUUCCGUGCCGUAGCUAACGCUUUAAGUACCCCGCCUGGGGAGUACGGCCGCAAGGCUAAAACUCAAAGGAAUUGACGGGGCCCCGCACAAGCGGCGGAGCAUGCGGAUUAAUUCGAUGCAACGCGUAGAACCUUACCUGGGUUUGACAUGGAUCGGGAGUGCUCAGAGAUGGGUGUGCCUCUUUUGGGGUCGGUUCACAGGUGGUGCAUGGCUGUCGUCAGCUCGUGUCGUGAGAUGUUGGGUUAAGUCCCGCAACGAGCGCAACCCUUGUUCACUGUUGCCAGCACGUUAUGGUGGGGACUCAGUGGAGACCGCCGGGGUCAACUCGGAGGAAGGUGGGGAUGACGUCAAGUCAUCAUGCCCCUUAUGUCCAGGGCUUCACGCAUGCUACAAUGGCUGGUACAGAGAGUGGCGAGCCUGUGAGGGUGAGCGAAUCUCGGAAAGCCGGUCUCAGUUCGGAUUGGGGUCUGCAACUCGACCUCAUGAAGUCGGAGUCGCUAGUAAUCGCAGAUCAGCAACGCUGCGGUGAAUACGUUCCCGGGGCUUGUACACACCGCCCGUCAAGUCAUGAAAGUUGGUAACACCCGAAGCCGGUGGCCUAACCGUUGUGGGGGAGCCGUCGAAGGUGGGACUGGUGAUUAGGACUAAGUC
rnacentral:rRNA from 1 species